AAAGCAAAAGCUUCACAGAGAGGGAAUUAAUGCUGAUCAGCCCAUGCUCUGCUGAGCUACUUCAUUCCACAAGGUCAGCAGCCAGCUGGCCAGGGAGAGCUUUGCUGGAGAGCAGCUGACACUUGCAGAGGUGUUCAGACAGGAUUCACCACAGUGGGCAAAGGACAAACCCACGUUAUAAACAUCACUGCUCCACUCACACAAUUGUUACAGAAGAAUUUCUCUGAAAUUUUCAUCCCUAGUGGAAGAUUUCUAAAACUCUUGUAUGUUUUAUACCAAUAUCCAACUUCCUUUCUAUCCACAAAGGUAGGAACGACAGAAGCACAGAUCAAAGGUAAGAGUGGAUCUACAUUCCUGUCGCAAUCUGGGGACCUUGACUUCAUUACUUAGGGAACAAAAUUAUUUGAUAACUCUCUGACAUCUUCUGCAUCUCCUGGGAACCUGUUCAGAAUGACCACGUUUGUAAAAUCUGAUAAUGAUCUCUGUGUUCAACUUGAUUGUGUUUCUGUCACUAUGCAGGAGCAGCUGCCAAAGCAAUUUCUUUAGUGUCAGAUGAUUUCUUCUGGGCUGAAACAGACGAGUCAUCUCUGCUCCAGACUUUUGGGUGACAUGGUCAGCCUGCUUCAGUGAGCUGAGGACCCAUGUGAGAAGUGUGUACUCUUCAAGUUUUUGUUCCAACAAGUGCAGUUCCAAGUAACUCUUGGAUGUGACUAAUCUGGAUGUGCCGAUUUAGGAAUAUCUAAACUUAGAACCUGCAGAUAACUAGAUCUUCUCUGUUCUCCCUUUACUGGAAGCUCACUCCAAAGAACUACGAGAGUCGAAGACACUGCUGACACGAGGCAUCAACCUCCCAGUGCCUGCUUUCAAGUCAGAGACGUGGUAUACUUGCCUCUUCAAGUCUACAUUCCUCUAUAUAUCACUGCUAAUUGCCAGAAUAUUACUUUUUCUGGGAACAGUCUCUCUCUGGUUUCAAUAAGAAGCUCUACGUAGAGUGAGAAAUCUUACUCAGGGGAAAUUUUAUUGGGUAUGUAUGCAACAAAGAAAAGCUUCCUUUUUAAAGGGUUGUCAUUCUCCAACAGCUAUUCCUUCAGGAAAUUCCAGCCUACCAACUGAUGUCUGGGCCAAACCUGCAUGGGUCCAUUCAGAAAACUAUCACUCAGUGCCUACCCUUGCAAUUGGAUUGCUUCUUUUCAUAUUGAGACUAACCACCCACAAAGCCAUGAUAUAAAAGAAGGCCAAAAAAGAUUUGCAAGUAAAAAGGAUCACAGCCAGAUAUCCACCUACUGCUUUAUGUGGCUGCUUUAUACCAGCCCUUCCUUGAGAUGCUAUUAUAACCGAACAGUUUAGCCUUAUUUGUUACUGGUAUAAGAACCAUCUUGUCACUUGUCACCAAGAUACCACAGUAUCUAUAUUAUCUGGUUUGGGUCUUGGAAGAAAGAAAUGGACAUUCUUCAGGUUCUGCAUAGGUAUGGCAGCAACACAACAGCCUGGAUCCUUCACUUUUCCAAUGCUUUUAGGGCACUGCAUGCACUCCUCUGCAUGAUGUGCUGCAUUUUGGGGGACUAAGAAGAAAAGUCUACCAUGUUACGGGCAGCUGGGCAUAAUGACAGCGCUGGGGGCUUAGAUUAGGAGCUGGAAACAAGAUAUGGGACAAAUUUGUUGGUGCAACGAAAAUGGAAAGGUAAAGUCAGGAGGCAAUCUAGUGCCUGGAGGCUGCGCUGGGGAACAUGAAAGAAUGAAAACCAAAGUGAAAGAGGCCAAAGGAACAGGGGAUCCAGCAGAGCAUGGGAGGGGAACAGCUGAGAUGACAGAUUGAGGAAAGGGUCAUGGGGAUGAGAGCAGAGGAAGGAUCGCUGACAUCAGAGACUGCUGAAAAGUGAUGAUAAGCAUGAAGAAGGGAUGCAGAGAACGCUUUAUAAAAAUGAGGUUGAAGCAGAAGACAAAAUCCUGCAAGUGAAAAUAUAUUAUAGGUCACGUCAAAAUACAGUGGAACUAUUUAUUUUUGUGCUGCUCUUAUCUUGUGCAUUCUCAAAGCAGCGAUUUUGAAUCUUAUUAAUUCUGUGCUCUCCAGCGGCUCAGGCUGCCUAGCAAUGCCUGGCUGGCGCUCCGCUGCACAUGGCUCACGGCUGCCUAGCAACUGGCAGGGGGGUGCCAGGGGCCCUGGACCAGGCUCAGGGGUGCAGCCCUAACUCAAGUACCCGGAUCCCCCAGCUAGGUAGAAGGGAGCAAUGCUGCUUGUUACGUCUGUGACAAAAAUCUUAAUGCUGCUUGUAAAAGAGCACACAUGGAGAUGCCCAACAAGAGUGCAGAGAGCCUGACAAAUGCCUCCAAAAAGUGGGAGCAGUCCCAUUUUUCUCUGCGAUAUUCCGACAACCUUUGAUGAUUGUUGAAAUAUCAAUAUAGUUAAUUACUAGGCUCUGUGGACUAGAUCUGAAAGACAGGAAAGCAAACCAACAUAGCGAAGUAGCUUCUUGGGUGGUUACUUCUAAUUUGAUGUAGGAAAUACUAAAGAUACCAAAAUACCUUUUGGUCCCAGAAAAAAAAAAUAGCGUUACAUAUUCAUGCAGGAUUGUCCCAGAACAGCUAUACUUGUAUACCUAUUGUCAAUAACACUGUAAUCAACAAAAAUCUUCUUACAGGAGCAUGAGGCUUGGCAUCUGGUAGAAGAGCUGAUGCGGCUGAUCUGAACAGACCUCGUGGCUUCUGUGCUUCCAGCUGCCCUCUCAAAUCCCUCAGCUCCCUUUCCACUGUCAAAAGUGCUUGUGUAGCUAAACAGCUGAACCAGGAAUUGAUCCAGCAAACAGACCAUCAAAAAAUAAAUUGUCAUUUUCCAAUUGACACUAUUGUAAAGGGAGAACUGUUCUCAACAGAAAAACAAAGACAUUCUUAGAAAAUGGAACAGCUAUAGAGCUACACAAAUUACAGUGCAGGAGAAGUUGCUUUGAUGCUACUACUUUGAUGCUAUUCUAAAUAGGUGGGUUUAGAGUUACAUUUUUCUCCCAGUCAAAAAUGGGCUACAUUUCAGAAGUGCCCUUGGAAAUGAGCCUGUCCCACUGAGAGGGAGCAAAUCUUAGACAGCUGAGAUGCUGAAUGGUAUAUAUGCACAGUUUACUUUUAAUGGAUCUCAUUUAUGGGGUAUUUGAGUGGAGCUUGAGAAGCAUCAUUACAUUCUUUUCUCUAUCAGCCAGACUCCCCAGCCAGGAAAACUAGCUUUCUUACAGACUUGCAUGUAACUUGAGUAAGUUAGUUAACAUUUCCUUACAAUCAGCAGUUUACUGGAGUAGUGGAUAAGUGUGAUUAAUUAAAACAAAACAAAAGAAUAAGACCAUUUCUAGGGGGCAAUCUAUUGAAUGCAGUUCAGACAUACAUUAGUGUUCUUCAGAAAGGGUCAACUCAAGUCCAAAAUUUUAUUGGCUCCAGCGUUGGUUCUGCUGGGUUUGGCUAACAGCCUGGCCACUCAAAUGGCCCCAUACUUUUAGUUACUUGAAAAUCACUUCCCAUAUGCACCACGUGUGUUCAUGGAACCAGCCUGUGACAUUCACAUCUAAGUCAAUACAAACUCUGAGAAUCUCAGGCAUGAGGAGCACAGUGCAGAGAUCUUCAGGUGACCCAGAAGGGACAUUCUGAAAGCAAGGAGAACCAGCAGGGGCAACAGCUAUUAAGGCUGCUCACCUGAACAGUUGAGCCUGACUGCACCAGGAUUCCCAAUGAGUACGGCACUAAGUUAAAAUGUCCCGCUAGAAGUGAGCUACCUCCGCGUGAGGCGAGUCGGGGGUACCUGUAUCAGGUCCACCCACCCACCGGGCUAACCCCGCCGCCGCCAGGGAGGCUCUGUGCCGUGGGAGAUGGCACGAGGUGGCGCUCUCUGAUGGCGUCUUCAAAGAGCGCAGUUUGAGGCAGAGCGUCAUUUGUUUGUUGAAGGGCUUUUGGGUGGAAAUUCGUUGGAGCCCCCUCGAGCUUCUGCUCAGCUGUUUGAGGUGGGCGAGUUGCCUGGCAGCCAGCGCUGCUCUGUUCAGCUGCAGCUGUGUCUGCUUGCAGGACUUGGUUGCCUGCUGAAGUGAAGCACGGUCUGUUUAACAAAACACACACUGCUGAGUUUUCUAUACUGAAAAAAGUCAAUGCACAAUGUCCCACGUGUCUUCCAUCUCUUAGUUCAGGGGCAGCAAUAACAUUUUAAGAAGAGUUGACAACAUUUGUGUUGCUUGAGGAUGUUAACAGCUCCAAUGAAGCCAGUCUGUGAUCUGCAGGCAAUUAUAGGCUCAUCCAAGUCAACAGGAAUUCAUAGCCUAACUGAAGAGAGAAAUCAAAUUUGCCUUUGUAUUAUGAUCACCGGAGAAGUCAAUGCCCAGGAUGGUUUCUGAUCAAACUUACCCUGGGAAACACUAAAGGCUUAUCUAUAUCUCAGUGCUGUUACAGGUCAAAUUUAAUUAUUUUACCUUAAAAGGGCACUUGGAAUCCAAAAUAAAAAUAUUUUGUUGAAAAUUA